UACCAGCACCCCGAGUGGUCGGGACGUUUAUUGGGCCUAAAGCAUCCGUAGCCGGUUCUAUAAGUCUUCCGUUAAAUCCAACUGCUUAACAGGUGGGCUGCGGAAGAUACUAUAGAGCUAGGAGGCGGGAGAGGCAAGCGGUACUCGAUGGGUAGGGGUAAAAUCCGUUGAUCCAUUGAAGACCACCAGUGGCGAAGGCGGCUUACUGGUCCAUUACUGACGCUGAGGUGCGAAAGCGUGGGGAGCAAACAGG
rnacentral:rRNA from 1 species